CGGGGUGCAGCAGGCGCGAAAACUUUACAAUGCUGGCAACAGCGAUAAGGGGACCUCGAGUGCCAGGAUACAAUCUUGGCUGUCGCGAUGCCUAAAAAGCAUUGCAUAGCAAGGGCCGGGCAAGACCGGUGCCAGCCGCCGCGGUAACACCGGCGGCUCGAGUGGUAACCGCUAUUAUUGGGUCUAAAGGGUCUGUAGCCGGCCGGAUAAGUCUUUUGGGAAAUCCAGCUGCUCAACAGUUGGGCUUUCAGAAGAUACUGUUCGGCUCGAGACCGGGAGAGGUGAGAGGUACUUCAGGGGUAGGGGUGAAAUCUUGUAAUCCUUGAAGGACCACCAGUGGCGAAGGCGUCCCACCAGAACGGAUCUGACGGCAAGGGACGAAAGCUAGGGGCACGAACCGGAUUAGAUACCCGGGUAGUCCUAGCCGUAAACGAUACUCGCUAGGUGUCAGCCACGGUGCGACCGUGGUUGGUGCCGUAGGGAAGCCGUGAAGCGAGCCACCUGGGAAGUACGGCCGCAAGGCUGAAACUUAAAGGAAUUGGCGGGGGAGCACAAGGGCGAAUNGCG
rnacentral:rRNA from 1 species